AGGAUUAACGCUAGCGGCAGGCCUAAUACAUGCAAGUCGAGGGGCAGCACGGGUAGCAAUAUCUGGUGGCGACCGGCGCACGGGUGCGUAACGCGUAUGCAAUUUGCCCUUAACUGGGGGAUAGCCUUCCGAAAGGGAGAUUAACACCCCAUAACAUUGCGAGAUGGCAUCAUCUUGCAAUUAAAACUCCGGUGGUUAAGGAUAAGCAUGCGUGUCAUUAGCUAGUUGGUGAGGUAACGGCUCACCAAGGCUACGAUGACUAGGGGAUCUGAGAGGAUUAACCCCCACACUGGUACUGAGACACGGACCAGACUCCUACGGGAGGCAGCAGUAAGGAAUAUUGGACAAUGGUCGAAAGACUGAUCCAGCCAUGCCGCGUGCAGGAUGAAGGCCCUAUGGGUCGUAAACUGCUUUUAUAUGGGAAAAAACGCUUGUUCGUGAACGAGCCUGAUGGUACCAUAUGAAUAAGCAUCGGCUAACUUCGUGCCAGCAGCCGCGGUAAUACGAAGGAUGCAAGCGUUGUCCGGAUUUAUUGGGUUUAAAGGGUGCGUAGGCGGGCUUAUAAGUCAGUGGUGAAAGCUCCCGGCUCAACCGGGAAAUUGCCAUUGAUACUGUAAGUCUUGAGUAUGGUUGAAGUGGGCGGAAUGUGCAGUGUAGCGGUGAAAUGCUUAGAUAUUGCACAGAACACCGAUUGCGAAGGCAGCUCGCUAAGCCAUAACUGACGCUGAGGCACGAAAGCAUGGGGAUCAAACAGGAUUAGAUACCCUGGUAGUCCAUGCCCUAAACGUUGAAUACUCGAUGUGUGCGAUAUACAGUACGCGUCUAAGCGAAAGCAUUAAGUAUUCCACCUGGGGAGUACGCUCGCAAGGGUGAAACUCAAAGGAAUUGACGGGGGCCCGCACAAGCGGUGGAGCAUGUGGUUUAAUUCGAUGAUACGCGAGGAACCUUACCUGGGCUUGAAAGUUAGUGACCGCUCCUGAAAGGGAGCUUUCCUUCGGGACACGAAACUAGGUGCUGCAUGGCUGUCGUCAGCUCGUGCCGCGAGGUGUUGGGUUAAGUCCCGCAACGAGCGCAACCCCUAUCUUUAGUUGCCAGCGAGUAAUGUCGGGGACUCUAAAGAAACUGCCCGCGUAAGCGGUGAGGAGGGUGGGGAUGACGUCAAGUCAGCACGGCCCUUACGUCCAGGGCUACACGCGUGCUACAAUGGCAGGUACAGUGGGCAGCUACAUGGUAACAUGAUGCUAAUCUCUAAAACCUGUCUCGGUUCGGAUUGAGGUCUGCAACUCGACCUCAUGAAGCUGGAAUCGCUAGUAAUCGAAAAUCAGCAAUGUUUCGGUGAAUACGUUCCCGGGCCUUGUACACACCGCCCGUCAAACAAUGGGAGCUGGGGGUACCUAAAGUCGGUUGUCGCAAGACGCCGCCUAGGGUAAAACUGGUGACUGGUGUUAAGUCGGAACAAGGUA
rnacentral:rRNA from 1 species